GUGCCCGUAGUUCAAUGGAUAGAACGCCCGGUUGCGGACCAGGUGGUUGGAGGUUCGAUUCCUCUCGGGCACGCAA
rnacentral:tRNA from 4 species